rnacentral:tRNA from 1 species
UCCUCGGUAGUAUAGUGGUAAGUAUCCCUGCCUGUCACACGAGAGACCGGGGUUCUAUCCCUCGCCGGGGAG